CCGUUUCUCUCCAGAUUCCGUAAACCUUGCUUAUCAACGAGUCCAGAAAGUGGACUGCACGUCUCCCAGGCCUGUGCUUAUUCUAGGGCCAUUACUUGAUGCUGUGAAGGACAUGCUAGUCAAGGAAUCUCCAGGAAAAUUUUGCCGGUGUCCUCUAGAGGUGAUGAAAGCUUCUCAACAAGCCAUCGAGCGGGGUGUGAAAGACUGUUUAUUCAUAGAUUAUAAAUGUAGGAGUGGACAUUUCGAUGUGACAACUGUUGCCUCAGUAAAGGAGAUAACAGAGAAGAGAGCAAAAAGACCCCGUCUUCCUGAGGGACAAAGUUACG